rnacentral:rRNA from 1 species
AUUGAACGCUGGCGGCAUGCCUUACACAUGCAAGUCGAACGGUAACAGGUCUUCGGAUGCUGACGAGUGGCGAACGGGUGAGUAAUACAUCGGAACGUGCCUAGUAGUGGGGGAUAACUACUCGAAAGAGUGGCUAAUACCGCAUGAGAUCUACGGAUGAAAGCAGGGGAUCGCAAGACCUUGUGCUACUAGAGCGGCCGAUGGCAGAUUAGGUAGUUGGUGGGGUAAAAGCUUACCAAGCCGACGAUCUGUAGCUGGUCUGAGAGGACGAUCAGCCACACUGGGACUGAGACACGGCCCAGACUCCUACGGGAGGCAGCAGUGGGGAAUUUUGGACAAUGGGCGCAGGCCUGAUCCAGCAAUGCCGCGUGCAGGAUGAAGGCCUUCGGGUUGUAAACUGCUUUUGUACGGAACGAAAAGCCCUGGGUUAAUACCCUGGGGUCAUGACGGUACCGUAAGAAUAAGCACCGGCUAACUACGUGCCAGCCGCCGCCGUAACAC